rnacentral:lncRNA from 1 species
UUUUGGGGCCUAUAAAUACAUGUUUACACCCCUUGGCCAAAGGACAAUCCCCCAUAUUCAUCAUUUUAUCACAACAAUUCGUCCAUACACACCCUAGGAAGCAAAACACCCCAAAAACACCAUUCUAGUGCCUAGAAAACAUAACAGCCACUCCACCUUCUUUCACCCUCUUUGCCUAGUUCUCCACCACCCUCCAACCCUCAAACACUCCUC